UACUUCAUUCUUCAAUUAACUAGUUCUUCAAGAUAGCUCAGGAGCUCUUCUGUGUACUAAGCUAGGCGACCCUCCUCUGUGCUCCUCAUGUGCUAUGAAAAAGAAGCCAAAGCCUCUCAAUGUGAAAUUAUUUCUCCAAGAAAACUCAGAAUUGGAAAUUUUUAUGAAGUCAUUGAUCCUUGAAGCAGUAUUGAGAACCUACUGUAUGCUAGGAACCCUUGCUCUUUUCACCACAUGGCUCCUAUAGCAAUCAGGUGCUGCUGAUUCUGAGACAAUUAGACUAAUACUAGAACUUACACCAUUGGGCCACCCAGUUCUCAGGUCAUCAGACUCAGACCAGAUUACACAACCAUCUUUCCUAGUUCUCCACUUUGCAAGUGGUAAGCUGUGAACUUGGGCCUCCAUAGUUGAAAGAGCCAAAUCCAAUAAUAAACCUUA